ACACAUGCAAGUACGAACGGUAGAGGGGGCAACCCUUGAGAGUGGCGAACGGGUGAGUUAAUAUAGUCGGAACGUGCCCAGUCGUGGGGGAUAACGUAGCGAAAGCUACGCUAAUACCGCAUACGAUCUAUGGAUGAAAGCGGGGGAUCGCAAGACCUCGCGCGAUUGGAGCGGCCGAUAUCAGAUUAGGUAGUUGGUGAGGUAAAGGCUCACCAAGCCGACGAUCUGUAGCUGGUCUGAGAGGACGACCAGCCACACUGGGACUGAGACACGGCCCAGACUCCUACGGGAGGCAGCAGUGGGGAAUUUUGGACAAUGGGCGCAAGCCUGAUCCAGCAAUGCCCGCGUGCAGGAUGAAGGCCUUCGGGUUGUAAACUGCUUUUGUACGGAACGAAACGGUGAGCUCUAAUACAGUUUGCUAAUGACGGUACCGUAAGAAUAAGCACCGGCUAACUACGUG
rnacentral:rRNA from 1 species